rnacentral:rRNA from 1 species
AGAGUUUGAUCAUGGCUCAGAAUCAACGCUGGCGGCGUGCCUAACACAUGCAAGUCGAACGUGAAAGCCCCGCAAGGGGUAAGUAGAGUGGCGCACGGAUGAGUAACACGUGGAUAACCUGCCUUUGAGUGAGGAAUAACCUUCCGAAAGGAGGGCUAAUACCGCAUAACACCUUUAGACAAAAGUCAAAGGGUUAAAAGGAGCAAUUCGCUGAAAGAGGGGUCCGCGCCUGAUUAGCUAGUUGGUGAGGUAAUGGCCCACCAAGGCUUCGAUCAGUAGCCGUCCUGAGAGGGAGCACGGCCACACUGGAACUGAGACACGGUCCAGACUCCUACGGGAGGCAGCAGUGGGGAAUUUUUGGCAAUGGGCGAAAGCCUGACCAAGCAACGCCGCGUGGGUGAUGAAGUAUCUUGGUACGUAAAACCCUUUCGGCAGGGACGAACUCAAUGACGGUACCUGCGGAAGAAGCCCCGGCUAACUCCGUGCCAGCAGCCGCGGUA